CCCGCGGCGCCGCGGCCAAGCUGUAGACCAGGAAGAAGCGGAACUGGAAGCGGAUCCUGUCGCCGGGGGCCGCCGCCCGCAUCCAGAGCCCGCAGUCGGUGUCCGGGGCCACGAAGUAGAACCUGCGCGAGGCGGCGUGAGAGCGCAGCAGCAGCCCGUCCCCCUGCCACGUCUGCCCGCAGAGGUCCACCAGGUCGGCUGCAGGGAAAAGCACGGAUUCGGGAACCGCGCGACCUGGUUCUGAGCCCUGCCCGCUGUGUGACCCCCAAUUUGUUUAUUUUGAGAGAGAGAGCACGAGCAGGGGAGGGGCAGAGAGAGAGGGAGACACAGAAUCCGAAGCAGGCUCCAGGCUCCGAGCUGUCAGUGCAGAGCCCGACGACGCAGGGCUGGAAAUCAGGAACUGUGAGAUCAUGAUGUGAGUUUAACCAGCUGAGCCACCCAGGCGCCCCCCCCUCAAUUUCUUAUUCAAAAACUCUAGGAUUCAUUUCAGAAUUUUCCAGAGUUUAGAAAGAUAUGGUGGUGUAUAUGCAGGAUAUUGACCUCCAUGAUCAAACGCAUUUGCUAGAGCAGGUGUAAGGAUACAUAACCCUAAGCAGGGCAAAUGAAGACAAGAAACAGCCCCCUGUCGGUUCAAGUCAGGAAGUCCCAGUAAAUUAGUUAAGAAGGAAUUUCAGUUUUCAGAGCUUUUCAUAGUUUGCAGUUGAAACUAAAGGACUGUGGACAUGUAAGCAUUCGGUGCUCAGGACAGUGCUUGGCAUUUGAGUGUCACCCACGUUAGCUAUAAUUAGCAUCUUAUUGGAGGAGGGAGCAGACACAGACUUUUCCUGUUGCUCCUUGCUAGAAGAAUCUUAGUAUCUCUCAGCUGCCAGGGAGCAACGUACCAGCCUUCCUGGCCAUUGGCCUAAACCAGGUUUUGUGAUCCUAAUUCUAUUUGCAGGGUUUAGGGAUUGGUAUGUGACCUGAUUCUGGCCAAUGAGAUUGAAGGUUUGCUGAGGGCUCCUGAGAAAGGAUUUCCUCUCUGAUUAAACAAAAAGAAGAAGGAAGAAAAGGGGCACCUGGGUGACUCAGUUGGUUAAGCGUCUGACUUCGGCCCAGGUCAUGAUCUCACGGUUCGUGGGUUUGAACCCCCC